ensembl:lncRNA
UUUUCAUUUAAAUUUAUUAACAUCAUUUAUUAACAUUUAUUAUGUGGGAAUGAGACCUUUUUCAUAAGUACAUGGCACUAUAUACAUUCCAGAGGAAGGACCACUGUCUACACAUGGUGUCAGGGGAGGGGUAGGGAGACAGGACACAGUCAGGAGGGGUAGGGGAGACAGGACACCGUCAGGAGGGGUAGGGGAGACAGGACACAGUCAGGAGGGGAGGGGUAGGGGGGACACAGUCAGGAGGGGUAGGGAGACAGGACACAGUCAGGAGGGGUAGGGGGACACGGAGGGGUAGGGAGACAGGACACAGUCAGGAGGGGUAGGGAGACAGGACACCGUCAGCGGGGUAGGGGAGACAAGACACAGUCAGGGGGGGUAGGGGAGACAGGACACAGUCAGGAGGGGUAGGGGAGACAGGACACAGUCAGGAGGGGUAGGGAGACAACGAGGGGUAGGGGAGACAGGACACAGUCAGGAGGGGUAGGGGAGACAACGAGGGGUAGGGGAGACAGGACACAGGCAAAGAUACGUAAAAUGGCAGCCCUAUGAUAUAGUAGUGCACUACAUUUGAUCAGUGCCCUAUGGUAUAGUAGUGCACUACAUUUGAUCAGUGCCCUAUGGUAUAGUAGUGCACUCCAUUUGACCAGUGCCCUAUGGUAUAGUAGUGCACUACAUUUGACCAGUGCCCUAUGGUAUAGUAGUGCACUAUUUAGUGAAUGUUGUGCCAUUUAAAAAGUCACCCUUCACUUGGCUCUCUUCUCUUCUGAUUGACACAACGUCAACUGUAAAACAAUUGUUUUGUUAAAAAUGUUCUUAUAAAGAAACACUACUGUUACCCAAAACAAUAACUAAAUAAUACUACUCAUUUUGUCACAUGGUUUUACUGUACAACAAACUAGGGACAGACAGGUUCUGUAAGUAGUCACAGUUGUAGCACAGUGCUGGGACCGUAGAUAUAGAAUCUAUAGACAGGACCGCCAGUCAGCCCAGCCAUUACACCAUCAUUGAUUUGAAUGGGGGCUGUUCUAUAGAUGAAGCACCCUGUUCUCUGUAACACCUACAGCUGUAACUUACACCACUUCAGAUACACAACAACAUUUACAUGUGCAGCAUCUCAACUCUCACUUCCUGUGUCUCCCAAAUGGUAAUCUAUUCCCUAUGUAGUGUACUGGACCCGGGAGCUGCUAGAUAGGGAUUAGGGUGCCAUUUGGGAUUCCACUGUCCGUCUGUCUCUUCUUCUCUUAAAGCACAUUGAACAUUAUAUAUUUUUAGUAGAAUGCAGGUAUGUAAUGAUGUAUUCAUAAGUGAUUAACUAACACAGACAACUUUCAUUUUAGUCUUUACAGCUGAGCUUUUAAUAUGGGCCCUUCCUGCUCACCCUUAGGCUCCUGGAGUCAGGGGUCAUAGGUUUUAAGGGUCAGUGGCCUGUUAGGUAGUCUAGAGUGGAGUCAGAGAAGCUGGAUCAGGGGUCAGUGGCCUGUCAG